GAGGGUAGAGCUGAGGGGUAGAGCACAUGCUUAGCAUGCACGAGGGUCCUUGGUUCAAUCCCCAGUACCUCCA
rnacentral:tRNA from 1 species